AAUCGCUAUGAAAAUUCAAUUUUUCUUAUGCUUGUCAGAGGUUAUGUUAGAAAUCAGAGGAUGAAACAGAUAAACAUAUUCAGGAAACAAAACUCUCCACUUUCGCGAUGUAGUUGGUUGUCUCCAAUAAUUUUUUUCACAAAAUAAAAUCCAGAAAUUAAAGUACUUGUUAACAUGGAUUAUAUAUAGGCUGUGGCGGUUAAAUUUUCAGAAUGCUUAAAUUGUUGUGGCUAGAAACAUGCCUGGAGUGCUACCCAGUUGAAGGUUAUUCACCGGURCAAAAUUCGCCUUCAUACCGGUUAUGUUAACCCGACUGUCGUACAAUUGUUAACUAACUCCCUUUGUAUCUGAAAUAUGUACAUAUAUGCCGAAUUAUUGACGUGGACACCGAAAGCAAAACAUCGUGCCGACUGCAUACGACACACAAAAUGGCCGCCGCUUGCUUUGUUUAUUGUUCCUAGUUUUCUCCAUUCAAUCAACUCUACAAAAAGGUAUGUAUUUACAUUGAURACGUUAACUCCGAAACGGAGGGUUUGAUACGUCAAAUUGUUACUGUGGCAUUGUAAAUAAAUCCAUUAAAUUGUGUAAUUACUAAUAAAUAAAAAGAUUU